CCUACGGGAGGCAGCAGUGGGGAAUAUUGCGCAAUGGGCGAAAGCCUGACGCAGCGACGCCGCGUGAGGGAUGAAGGUCUUCGGAUCGUACUCCUCUGUCAGCAGGGAAGAACGGUCACUGUGCUAAUCAGCAGUGAAUUGACGGUACCUGCAAAGGAAGCACCGGCUAACGCCGUGCCAGCAGCCGCGGUAAUACGGAGGGUGCGAGCGUUAAUCGGAAUUACUGGGCGUAAAGCGCUCGUAGGCGGUAUGUCAAGUCAAGGGUGAAAUCCCCGCGCUCAACGUGGGAACUGCCUUUGAAACUGGCAAACUGGAGUGUGUGAGAGGAUAGUGGAAUUCCAGGUGUAGGAGUGAAAGCCGUAGAUAUCUGGAGGAACAUCAGUGGCGAAGGCGACUAUCUGGCACAUAACUGACGCUGAGGAGCGAAAGCGUGGGUAGCAAACAGGAUUAGAUACCCCUGUAGUC
rnacentral:rRNA from 1 species